rnacentral:misc_RNA from 1 species
UAAAGUGCGAUAUGUAGUGCGAUUUGCAUGAAUCUGUGAGUCAUCUAAUCUUUGAACGCAACUUGCGCCUUUUACGAGGCAUGUUUGUUUGAGUGCCGCAAUCCUCUGCAGCAAUGCGAUUUGACUCGUGUCUUUGUUGACCGAGUUUAAACAGAGCUAGAGGAUGGUCAGUUUGACCUAGUCCGAGUGCUAAGCAUUCUUGGGCCUAGGCUGGAUUGAUCAUUAAUCUAUCUUUAUUUUUGGCCUCAAAUCAAGCAAGACUACCCGCUGAACUUAA